rnacentral:rRNA from 1 species
CGGAAUUACUGGGCGUAAAGCGCACGUAGGCGGCUUUGUAAGUUAGAGGUGAAAGCCCGGGGCUCAACUCCGGAAUUGCCUUUAAGACUGCAUCGCUAGAAUUGUGGAGAGGUAAGUGGAAUUCCGAGUGUAGAGGUGAAAUUCGUAGAUAUUCGGAAGAACACCAGUGGCGAAGGCGACUUACUGGACACAUAUUGACGCUGAGGUGCGAAAGCGUGGGGAGCAAACAGG